GGGACUCUUCGGAGCCUUGCGCUAAUAGACGAGCCUAAGUCGGAUUAGCUAGUUGGUGGGGUAAAGGCCUACCAAGGCGACGAUCUGUAGCGGGUCUGAGAGGAUGAUCCGCCACACUGGGACUGAGACACGGCCCAGACUCCUACGGGAGGCAGCAGUGGGGAAUAUUGGACAAUGGGGGGAACCCUGAUCCAGCCAUGCCGCGUGUGUGAAGAAGGCCUUUUGGUUGUAAAGCACUUUAAAGCGAGGAGGAGGCUCCCAGUAUUAAUACUACUGGAGAGUGGACGUUACUCGCAGAAUAAGCACCGGCUAACUCUGUGCCAGCAGCCGCGGUAAUACAGAGGGUGCAAGCGUUAAUCGGAUUUACUGGGCGUAAAGCGUGCGUAGGUGGCCAAUUAAG
rnacentral:rRNA from 1 species